CCCCUCUCAGGGUCACAUCUGGAGAGUUUCCAGUACUCAACCAGUCUUAGCUACGGGAGGGAGAGUCAAGCAGAGGCCUGUCCAUUCCAUUCCUAGCUUGGGCAAUGGCUAAUGAGUGGAAGGCCAUCUGCUACAAAU